ensembl:lncRNA
GUGGCAGAUAACAGCUACCCUGUGGCUGGCUGGAAUGGCUUUCCCAAAAUGGAUCAGAUCACAGCUUCUUAACAGAGAUAAUUUCUUUACAGUAUUUUGCAGUACUCUCAUGAAAAGAUGAAAGCCUUCCAAGUCAGGAUUGAUGCAUCAUGGCUGGGAUGAUCAUGAGCAUAGCCAUAAACUGAAGUGAUUCAGACUUCUGUCUUCAGAGCACUUUUCCAAGGUUUCAGGUAUAGGAGAACCAUGAGAACACAUUGGAGAUCAGAAAUCAAAGGGCUGCAGAACUCAGGAGAAGCAUUACUGAGCUUAAAGAGAUCUGGAUUAAUUCUUGGAAAUUUAUCAGUAAAGAUGCAAGAGGACUCAAACAGUUGGACAACCCACAAAAUGCCUGGUCUGUCCCUUAACAUCAAUGUUUCCUGCAGCCCCCAAAGGAAAAAAAGCUUACAGCAUAUGUUGCUCUGUGUCUUCAACAAGAAAAUAUCUGGUAGUUGUUAUUCCUUCUUUUAACAAUACAAAAAUUACUCCUCUGUAGAGAACUUAUUUUUAAUAAAUAUUCAUUCAUUUUCUUGGUGUCUCACAAUGUGUUAUAUGUGUUUAUAUACAGUGAUUUUUAUCUGUUGAACAAAAUAAAAAUUUUUCUAGCUGUCUGAAAAGCUGAAUGGGCAAAUGCUCAACACAUGCAAGCUAGAUUCUUUCUGAAAUAACAGGAAUUCAAAGCCCUCAAGAUUCCUCUACACUCUCUCAAAGGAAAGCCAAAUGACAAAUCACAAAUAAAAAGAACUUUUGUGUAUUUUGGCUGCUCUUCAUGGCUAUAAAAAUAUCUCCG